AACAAUAUUGUAGAAAUACAAUUCAUUCAUCCCAUAGAACAAUUCAAUUCCAUUUCAUUGUACAAUUACAUUAACAAAUUGUAGAUUAAUACACUUAAAGCAACAAAAAAUGAAUUUCUCCAAAAUGUCUUCCACUUCAUUGUGUUAUUGAGAGCCUCCUCAAGUUCUUCAAUCAAUCCUUCAGAUUUAAGCAAUUUCUGAUGUUGAUCUUCAUUCUCUUUUUCUAAGAUUUCCAACAUCUUUUUUUUUUAUUCUUGAUAAACAUGUCUCUGUCAUCUUUCACUUCAGCACAAAACCAACCAAAAUAAUCACAUCCAUUACUUAUAUUCCCCUGCACAGGUUACAUAUAACAUUACUCACUGUAUAAAAUCGAAAUUGCAAACUUAACAAGAUAGAUCAUACCUUAUAAUGUGGACAUCCACAAAAUUGCUUCCCAAUUUUUUUUACUGUUUUUUCCCUUCUGAGUAUAGAAAAACACCACACCAAUAGUUAGGUCUCCAUUGAUUUUUUGAAGAAGAAGAAUUAAACCCAGAUUUGAAACUGUAACUCACUUCUCCACCGUACUCAGACCCCUUUUACAAUGGAGCAGAAUUUUUAUGAGCCAUUAUUCUUCACAAUAGAUGUUGCAGCAUGAACAAUAGAUUACAUAAGAAGAUGAAGGAAAAAUGCACGAAACCCUAAUUCACAUGAAGAAGAUGGUGUGUGUUGCUGAGCAUAUCUUUAUAGAAGAAGAUAUCCUACGUGGAGCUGACAUGGAAGCUAACACUUUCACGUUUAAUAGUGUUAGUGUGUUUUGUCUGCAAAGGAUAGACGUGGUACAUUUAAUAUAGUUAUGGGACGAGAAUGAGCCUUUUAAAAAUUAAGGGACCAAAAUGAACCCCCACGCUAAACAUAUGGGACGAAAAAGGCUAUUUUGCCUUAAAUAAUCUAUUCAUUUGGUUAAACCCAAAACUGGGGGGUAUGACACACAUAUUUAACUAUAAAAUGAUUUGUUCACUAAAAUUUAGUCUAAACUUAACUCAUAUACAGUCGCUCCAUACUUGUAAACAUUUUUAUUUAGGAUGGAUUGCAAAACAGAAAAAUAAUUUAGUUUUGUCUUGUUACUUUCUAACACCAACCUUGAACAAAACAUUUUUUUAUUCUUGCAAUGUAUCUCACAUAAUGUAUCUCCGGAUUUAAAAAAUAAAUUUAAACAGAUUUGUUUCUGCAAUGUAUUUUCUAAAGUAUUUUUUCUAACAUUAGAGAUAUGUUCUUGCAAUGUAUCUCACACAAUGUAUCUCAGGAGUUUUUAAAAUUUCGGUAGUUCAUAUUCAAUACAAAAAAAAUUUAACACUACCCAAAAUUUUGAAAAGUGUUGUAGUUUACCGGAAAUUUCGAAAAAUGUUGUAGUUUAUCGGAAAUUUCUGGUAGUGUAAAAAAAUUUGAUUUUUGAUUUUUUUUUUAAAUUCUGAUAUUUCUUCAAAAAAAUUUCCUAAAAUAUUUAUUUUUUUACCAAAAAUUUUGGAAAAUCCUGGUAUUUUUUUCAAAAUUUUAGGUAAGCGUAAUAGAAAACUCCAAAAAAAUCUUUUUAUAAGGGCAUAAAGGUAAUAGCACCACUAUAUGGGGGGUCAGGUUUAAUUGAUUGAGGUGACAAGUUAAAUGCUCUAGGAACAAUAUCCCCCAAGCCUUAGCUUAUGUAGUUAGGUAGUGGCUUGAAUCUAGUAUCUCAUUGGGGUCAUCGACUCUGAUCAUGAUUUUUUUGUCUCCGAUUUUAUUGACACCCUAUCAUUUAUAAGAACUAGUCAUCAACCAAGAUUUAAUUUUAUCUUCCCUUUCCCAAUGAGUAGUCCUUGAUUCGAGAUGGAUGUGGCGUCAUUACCCAUAAACUUUGACGGUUAGUUGAGAAGUGGGUGUAUUGUGUGGAUGUUGGUACUCUCACUCAAUAAAGCUUAAGCGCUCAGAAGGGGGUUCGACUUGUUGAAAGUCGGGGCCAUGACUCUCACUCGACUAAGCAUAAAAGCUUGGAGGUAGAAAUUCGACUUGCAAUCCUUCAUAAUAGAAAUCUAUUCUAAUUUUAAAUGAAACUUUUAUUUCAUAAGUAUAUAAGUCUAUUUGUUAUCAAGGAGCUAAGUUGUAUGAUUUUUUUAUUGGUUAUUUGGGUUGGUCAUGAACCCAUUUUGGUGGAUUUUGUGACUCUUUGUAUAUGCAUAAAGGCCUUGAUAAACGAUCAUUUUUUUUCCAUUUUCUUGUUACAACAAAAAUAAAUGUAGUGUGACAACAUUGUAUGUUAGCGCUUUACAGAACUAUAAGUUUUUUUAACCAAAAUAUAUUAAAUUAUUCCAGUUUUUGGAAUAGUAAAUGGUAAGGUCCUCUUCAUUAAAAAUGAGAGUCACCUCCUCCAUCGUGCCGGAGGUCACCUUCGGCGGCGGUGGAGGGCCAAUCUGAGAAAUUUACACACCUUUCAGUUCAUCUCUACAUGCUCUAAUCAAAUCCAAAACUAAUUUCACCAAAUUCGAACUCUAAAGUCCUAACCGAAUCAGUUUUCUCCAAGAACCCUAAACACAAAUUGUUAAAUUAAAUCACCACCCCAUGAAAUCAAAGUCCAAGGUGUUAGGGCGUUGAUUCCCUACAACUCAACUCACAUCUCCGUAACUGGUUUGAAGCAAAAUGAUGGAAUCAAGGACUUACCCUGCCAGAGAAGAUGAAGAUGUCAGCAAAAUUUCCAGGUAACGGUUCUUGUUCCGAAUUUCUUCCUUACUUUUGAAUUCCAAAUCUUCUCCUUCUAAUUAUUCUUGUUGCUUUUGGUUCUGAGGGUUGACAGAUUCAGAGAGAGUGUGAUGGUUCUAUGAGUGGAAUCGAGAGUUCUCAUAAAU
rnacentral:lncRNA from 1 species